rnacentral:rRNA from 1 species
UACGGAGGGUGCAAGCGUUAUCCGGAUUUACUGGGUUUAAAGGGUGCGUAGGCGGGCCUUUAAGUCAGUGGUGAAAGCUCCGAGCUUAACUCGGAAACUGCCAUUGAUACUAUUGGUCUUGAAUUCGGUUUGAGGUUGGCGGAAGUGUGUCGUGUAGCGGUGAAAAUGCUUAGAUAUGACACAGAACACCGAUUGCGAAGGCAGCUAGCUAAACCGACAUUGACGCUGAGGCACGAAAGCGUGGGGGAUCAAACAGG